UACGUAGGGUGCAAGCGUUAAUCGGAAUUACUGGGCGUAAAGCGUGCGUAGGCGGCCAACUAAGUCAGACGUGAAAUCCCUCGGCUUAACCGGGGAACUGCGUCUGAUACUGGAUGGCUUGAGGUUGGGAGAGGGACGCGGAAUUCCAGGUGUAGCGGUGAAAUGCGUAGAUAUCUGGAGGAACACCGGUGGCGAAGGCGGCGUCCUGGACCAAUUCUGACACUGAGGAGCGAAAGCCAGGGGAGCAAACAGG
rnacentral:rRNA from 1 species